rnacentral:rRNA from 1 species
AAUAUUGCACAAUGGGGGAAACCCUGCUGCAGAGACGCCGCGUGAGCGAAGAAGGCCCUCGGGUCGUAAAGCCCUGUCCUAAGGGAAGAAACGGACGGUACCUUGUGAGGAGGCCCCGGCUAACUAUGUCCCAGCCGCCGCGGUAAUACGUAGGGGGCUAGCGUUGUCCGGAUUUACUGGGUGUAAAGGGUGCGUAGGUGGCUAGACAAGUCAGAUGUGAAAGCCCAGAGCUCAACUCCGGAACUGCAUUUGAAACUGUAGAGCUAGAGUGCAGGAGAGGUAAGUGGAAUUCCUAGUGUAGCGGUGAAAUGCGUAGAUAUUAGAAAGAACACCAGUGGCGAAGGCGGCUUACUGGACUGUAACUGACACUGAGGCACGAAAGCGUGGGGAGCAAACAGG